GCCUUCGUGGUAUAACGGUUAACACACUCGGCGUGUAUUCGAGAGUUCCAGGUUCGAGUCCCGGCUAAGGCA
rfam:Stegodyphus mimosarum contig55195, whole genome shotgun sequence.